UCUUCUUCCCUCAACUUUCCCUGCGUCUCGCCCGUCGCCGGUGAUUCUCGCCAGUUGUCAUCGCCGCUGGGUCUUGCCCCUUGUCGGUGGUACUCCAGCAAGGGUCUAUUUCCUCGCCUCCUCACCAGUGGUUCCCUGCUCGAUAAACCACCGCAGAAGUUAUUCCCUGCUCGAAAAACCACCGGUGAAGUCAUUUCCUGCUCGAAAAACUAAGCUACUUUGCUCGGCCGGUUCGUGAACCCUGUUCUCCGUCAAUCCUUGCCGCAACAAUUAAAUCUCCAAAAUUUUCGCUUUUUUGGAAGUUCGGUGAUUCCAAGUCCUGUGGUAAAGGUGUUGAUGUAUUGAGAUCAAGGAGACUACUUUGCCACUUGUUGCCUUGGAAAAGAGCUACUUAUUGGAGAAAUGGUCGGGUCGUGGUUUUUCUUUAAGAAGAUCAAAGGUCGUAAGUCUCUCUUGAACCAGUUUAAAAUGGUCCGAGUCCAUGAAAAAGCGUUCAAAGAAGUUUGAAGAGCUUGUAAAUAGGUAACUUCAUCCUCACCUGUAGCAUAUUUGGUGGAAAGACAAAGAAAUAACAAGGCUGGUGGGAUAUUAAGAGAAUUGAAUAGAUAAGAAUAGUCUAAGGGCAAAACAAUUUCUAAAAUGUUAGACAGUCAGG